rnacentral:rRNA from 1 species
AGAGUUUGAUCAUGGCUCAGGAUGAACGCUGGCGGUAUGCUUUACACAUGCAAGUCGUACGAGAGUUUUGAACUCAAGUGGCGGACGGGUGAGUAACACGUAAGAAUUUGCCUUUAGGAGGGGGACAACAAUUGGAAACGAUUGCUAAUACCCCAUAUGCUUUCGAGUGAAAUGGAUUUUUCCGCCUAAAGAGAAGCUUGCGGCUGAUCAGCUUGUUGGUAAGGUAAUGGCUUACCAAGGCGACGAUCAGUAUCUGGUUUGAGAGGACGAUCAGACACACUGGAACUGAGACACGGUCCAGACUCCUACGGGAGGCAGCAGUGGGGAAUUUUCCGCAAUGGGCGAAAGCCUGACGGAGCAAUACCGCGUGAGGGAUGAAGGCCUAUGGGUUGUAAACCUCUUUUUUCAGGGAGGAAUCAAUGACGCGUACCUGAAGAAUAAGCAUCGGCUAACUCCGUGCCAGCCGCCGCGGUAAUUC